rnacentral:rRNA from 1 species
UACAGAGGGUGCGAGCGUUAAUCGGAAUUACUGGGCGUAAAGGGCGCGUAGGCGGCAAAUUAAGUCAUCUGUGAAAUCUCCGAGCUUAACUCGGAACGGUCAGGUGAUACUGAUCUGCUAGAGUGCGGAAGGGGCAAUCGGAAUUCUUGGUGUAGCGGUGAAAUGCGUAGAUAUCAAGAGGAACACCUGAGGUGAAGACGGGUUGCUGGGCCGACACUGACGCUGACAGCGCGAAAGCCAGGGGAGCAAACGGG